UAGUUUUUGUAGAUAUUUUAAUGUGGUGUGCCUUCUCUUUUUUUUCUCCCUUUUGAAGACAUUAAAUAGCCCGAUAGUGCAUGUCGCUGCACACCCAGUCCGGUUGUAUAACGAGGCUUCACCUCAGCUGAACUUGACGCAUCUGGUUCAUCGGCGGCGAAGGACGCGCGACGCAGCCUGCAGCCUGCAGCCUGUGCCCCCACUGAACCGAGCUGGACGGCUGCGGAGAGAGAGAGAGGGGAACAACUCUUUCGUGCCCCGGUAACAGCUCACGGAGACUGUCUCCUAGCACAUCCAACAUGACGAUUUUUUUUCUACUUCUCAGCCUACAAAUAUGCUAUGGCUUUGUGCUUUUUUUAUUUCCGUUUUUUUUUGGUUCCCAGAGACGAUCGAGCCACCGUAUAGAAGAUAUAAAGACCGCUGACUUGGAGUUGGACACCCCGGAGGAAGAUAUACCAUCCAACUUGAACUCGAGACCAUGGGGCAAGUGAGGACACAAGUAGACAUGGAUCCACAAGACCUCAAAUACUGCAAUGCAGAGAGGAUAUGUGUACAUAUUGUGUGCAGCCACAGAGGGAUCCAGCAAAAUGAAUGGCGGAGAUUUCGGAGCUUUACCCCGGAUAGAUGAUGACUGGUGUUUGUGCCAGUUGCCUGCAAAGUCUCAGUGGGCCGGGGAAACCUGAGAGGAGGCGAGCCGACAAACCGCGCAGACCUGAAGCUGCAGAGAGGAGGUGACCUGUCAAGCAUAAGUGACAUUCAGGAAGUAUUCAGAAAGCAUUCUUUGAUUCAGAAAAAUGAAGGCACAAAUAAAUUAUGUCAGGUUAAGACACACGGUUAGUUGCACAUAGAAAGCAAUAAUACUA